rnacentral:tRNA from 1 species
GCUCCUAUAGCUCAGUUGGUAGAGCAGCUGAUUCGUAAUCAGCAGGUCACAGGUUCGAACCCUGCUAGGAGCACCA